rnacentral:rRNA from 1 species
UACGUAGGUGGCAAGCGUUGUCCGGAUUUACUGGGCGUAAAGAGCGCGCAGGCGGUCGCUCAAGUCGCGUGUGAAAGCCCCCGGCUCAACUGGGGAGGGUCACGCGAUACUGAUCGACUGGAAGGCAGGAGAGGGUAGUGGAAUUCCCGGUGUAGUGGUGAAAUGCGUAGAUAUCUGGAGGAACACCAGUGGCGAAAGCGCGUGACUGGGCCACAACUGACGCUGAGGAACGAAAGCCAGGGUAGCGAAAGGG